rnacentral:rRNA from 1 species
AUUGAACGCUGGCGGCAGGCUUAACACAUGCAAGUCGAGCGGGGUGAUGGUGCUUGCACUAUCACUUAGCGGCGGACGGGUGAGUAAUGCUUAGGAAUCUGCCUAUUAGUGGGGGACAACAUCUCGAAAGGGAUGCUAAUACCGCAUACGUCCUACGGGAGAAAGCAGGGGAUCACUUGUGACCUUGCGCUAAUAGAUGAGCCUAAGUCGGAUUAGCUAGUUGGUGGGGUAAAGGCCUACCAAGGCGACGAUCUGUAGCGGGUCUGAGAGGAUGAUCCGCCACACUGGGACUGAGACACGGCCCAGACUCCUACGGGAGGCAGCAGUGGGGAAUAUUGGACAAUGGGGGGAACCCUGAUCCAGCCAUGCCGCGUGUGUGAAGAAGGCCUUAUGGUUGUAAAGCACUUUAAGCGAGGAGGAGGCUCUUUUGGUUAAUACCCAAGAUGAGUGGACGUUACUCGCAGAAUAAGCACCGGCUAACUCUGUGCCAGCAGCCGCGGUAAUACAGAGGGUGCAAGCGUUAAUCGGAUUUACUGGGCGUAAAGCGCGCGUAGGCGGCCAAUUAAGUCAAAUGUGAAAUCCCCGAGCUUAACUUGGGAAUUGCAUUCGAUACUGGUUGGCUAGAGUGUGGGAGAGGAUGGUAGAAUUCCAGGUGUAGCGGUGAAAUGCGUAGAGAUCUGGAGGAAUACCGAUGGCGAAGGCAGCCAUCUGGCCUAACACUGACGCUGAGGUGCGAAAGCAUGGGGAGCAAACAGGAUUAGAUACCCUGGUAGUCCAUGCCGUAAACGAUGUCUACUAGCCGUUGGGGCCUUUGAGGCUUUAGUGGCGCAGCUAACGCGAUAAGUAGACCGCCUGGGGAGUACGGUCGCAAGACUAAAACUCAAAUGAAUUGACGGGGGCCCGCACAAGCGGUGGAGCAUGUGGUUUAAUUCGAUGCAACGCGAAGAACCUUACCUGGCCUUGACAUAGUAGAAACUUUCCAGAGAUGGAUUGGUGCCUUCGGGAAUCUACAUACAGGUGCUGCAUGGCUGUCGUCAGCUCGUGUCGUGAGAUGUUGGGUUAAGUCCCGCAACGAGCGCAACCCUUUUCCUUACUUGCCA